rnacentral:rRNA from 2 species
UACGUAGGGGGCAAGCGUUAUCCGGAUUUACUGGGUGUAAAGGGAGCGUAGACGGCGAAGCAAGUCUGAAGUGAAAGCCCGGGGCUCAACCGCGGGACUGCUUUGGAAACUGUUUUGCUGGAGUGCUGGAGAGGCAGGCGGAAUUCCUAGUGUAGCGGUGAAAUGCGUAGAUAUUAGGAGGAACACCAGUGGCGAAGGCGGCCUGCUGGACAGUAACUGACGUUGAGGCUCGAAAGCGUGGGGAGCAAACAGG